UACGUAGGGUGCGAGCGUUAAUCGGAAUUACUGGGCGUAAAGCGUGCGCAGGCGGUUUUGUAAGCCAGAUGUGAAAUCCCCGGGCUCAACCUGGGAAUGGCAUUUGGGACUGCAAGGCUGGAGUUUGGCAGAGGAGACUGGAAUUCCCGGUGUAGCAGUGGAAUGCGUAGAUAGUCGGGAGGAAUACCGAUGGCGAAGGCAGGUCUCUGGGCUAUAACUGACGCUCAUGCACGAAAGCGUGGGGAGCAAACAGG
rnacentral:rRNA from 1 species